AUUUGUCCUGACAUUGUUACACACCYGAUCACAUCCGAUUUUGGAAGCCAAGCAGAGUCUCAUUUGGCYAGCGCUGUUGAAAAUGCUGUAGACUUUGGGGAGGAUCAGUA
rnacentral:rRNA from 1 species